rnacentral:snRNA from 1 species
GAACAAUCUGGCCACAUCAGCCACCUGACUGAUCACUAAAGUUGAUUUAAUUGACCUGGUGGCAAGGUUGGAUCCCCUUCCUACAUCCAUUUUUGUCCCUUCUGAAAUUGAGCACUGGAUUAAAGUGACCUUCCCAGAAGAGAGGGGUACUAGUCUUCAAUGAAGACAAUAUAAGCAGCUGUGCUACCCAGCUAGAACCUCCAAAUAAGUUCUCAAGCUUUAAGAGUGCAUUUUAGUGCCAGAUUUCUUGCUAUCCACAUAAUGAUUCCCUCAAUCAAGACAUCUCU